UAUAGUAUAUAUUCUCACAUAUAUUCCCGUCUAUAUACAUAUAUGUACACAUAUAUUCAUACAUACACAUAUAUAGUGACUUAUGUGUAUUAUAGGUAUUUUUCAGAUAUUUGCACUGUUAAAAAAUGAAAAAAAAUCAAAACAUACCAUAUAACAAUACACAGAAUCAAUCUAAGAGCUGCUUAUUUGAGAAGAUAAGAUUGGCAGACCUUUAUUUGGCCCAAGUAAUUAAAAGAAAGAUAAAACCCAACAUAGUCAGAAAUGAACAGGGAUAUAUUACAAGAGAAACCAAAGAAAUUCAAAUUUUAUAAGAUAUAUUUUAAAAUCUUGUAUUCCCUUAACGUGGAAAACCUAAAAGAAAUGGAUGAAUUUCUAGAUUCAGCUAAACCACCAAAGUGAAACCAAGAAGCCAACAACCUGAUUGGAUCCAUAACAAAUGAGAUUGAAAUAAUAUAAAAAAUUCCAGUUUAAAACUGGAUACGCAUCAGAAUUCUACCAGAUGUUCAAAGAUCUAUAGCCAGUCCUUCCUAUAUAACAAGAAACAGAAGGUGCACUCCACUGUAAUUCUAAAACAGGAAAAGACAGCAAAAAAAAAAAAAAAAAAACCACUAGAGCUAUAGAUUCAAAAUGCUCAAUAAAUACUGGCAAACAGAAUACACAUAUUGAAAGUAGUAUCUACCGUGACCAAGUUAGCUUUAUCCCUGAAAUGCAAGGAUGAUUCAAUAUGCAAGUCAAUAAAUGCAAUGAACCAUAUAAACGGACUUAAAAAGAAAAAUCACAUGGACAUAAUAGAUACAGAAAAAGCCUUUGACAAAAACAUGCAUUCGUGGUUAAAAAAAAAGUCCUAGAGAAUGUAGGGCUAGAAGGGUCAUAAUUCAACAUAAUAAAAGCUAUAUACAAGACUCCCACACACAGUGGAGAAAAGAUAGAAACAAUCCCACCAAAGGAAAAGACCCCACACAGUAGAGAAAAGGUAGAAACAAUCCCAUCAAAGGCAAAGACCCCACACAGUGGAGAAAAGGUAGAAACAGUCCCACCAAAGGCAAAGACUCCACACAGUGGAGAAAAGAAACAAUCCCACCAAAGGCACAAAUGAGAAAAUGACGUUCACUACCCCCACUCCCUUUCAAUAUUGUGCUAGAAAUACUAGCUAGAGCAAUAAGGCAAGAGAAGGAAAUUAAAGUGAUACAAACAGGGAAAGGCGGAGACAAACUUAGCAAUGUGGCAGGGUAUGAAGCAACCUCAGCCACACUCACUGCUGCUCUAUUCACAAUAGCUAGGAAAUGGAAACAACCAAUAAGCGGAUGAGGAAAAUGGCGCGUCUACACUAUGGGAAGCUCUCCAGAUGUUAAAAAAAUAAAGUCAUGAACUUUGCACAUAAAUUGAUAGAAGUAAAAAGAUCCCAUUGAGUGAGGUCCCUUUCUAUUGUUUUCCAUGGCUCCCUUCUUCCUUCCCAAGAGGCAUGCUGUUCUCUUAUUUCUGGGAUCCUUAAGUAAUAAAAAGCUGCUUCUGUUA